UGGGCAUCCUUGUUUUGUUCCAGUUCUUUGAGGAAAUGCUUGCAGUCUUUCCCCAUUUAUUAUGAUGUUAAUUGAGGGUUUGUUAUUUAUAGACUUUAUUAUGUUCAGAUAUGCUUCCGGUAUGCCUAGUUUGUUGAGAGUUUUUAUUAUGAAGGAUCGUUGGACUUUAUCAAAUGUUUUUUCUGCAUUUAUUGAGGUUAUCACAUGGUUUUUGUCCUUCAUUCUGGUGGUGUGCUGUGUCACAUUUAUUGAUUUGCAUACAUUGAACCACCAUUGCAUCUCUGGGAUAAAUCCCACUUGUAUUAUAUUUUUGAAGUGCUACUGGAUUUGUUUUGCCCCUAUCUUUAUUAUUUCUUUUCUUCUGCUGAUUUCGAGUUUGGUUUGUUCUCGCUUUUCUAGUUCCCCUAAGUAUAUUAUUGGUUUGUUAAUUUGUUAUUUUUUUACUUUAUUGAUAUAGGCAUUUAUUGCUAUAAACUUCCCUCUUAGCACUGCUUUUGCUAUAUCCCACAGGUUUUGGUAUGUUGUGUUUCCAUUUUUUGUUUCAAAAAUUUCUUUUUUAAUUUCCUUCUUAAUUUUUUCAUUCACCCAAUGGUUGCUGAGAGCAUAUUAAUUUUCAUAUAUUUGUACAGUUUCCAAAGUUCCUCUUGUUACUGAUUUCUAGUUUUAUUCCACCAUGGUCUAAGAAGAUGCUGAGUAUGAUUUCAAUUUUUAAGAAUUUAUUGGGACUUGUUUUGUAGCCUAACUUAUGGUCUUUUUUGGAGAAUGUCUCAUGUGCUGAUGAGAAGAACGUGUAUCUACUGUUGUUGAAUAAAAUGUUCUGUUGAUGUUGAAUAGGUCCAUUUGGUCUAAGUUGCAAUUUAAAUCCAAUGUUUCUUUAUUGAUUCCUGUCUAGAUCAUUUGUCUAAUGCUGAUAAUGGGGUGUUGAAGUCUAAAACUAUUAUUAUAUUGGAGUCUAUCUCUGCCUUUAGGUCUAAUAAUAUUUAAUUUAUAUAUACCAAUGUUGGGUGAUAUAUAUUUAGAAUUUUUAAAUCUUCUUGCUGAAUUGAUCCCUUUAUUGUGUUUUAAUGACCUUUUUCUAUCUAUUUUUACUGUUUUUUGACUUAAAUUCUGUUUUAUAUGAUAUUGAUAUAAGUAUAGCUACUUCUGCUUGUUUUUUUGUUUUCCAUUUGUAUGGAAUGUCUUUUUCCAUCCCUUUACUUUUAGUCUAUAUAUGUCUUUACAGGUAAAAUGAGUUUCUUAUAGGUAGCAUAUAGUUGAGUCAUGUUUUAAAAAAAUCUAUUAUAUUUAGCUAGUCUAUACAUUUUAAGUGGAAAAUUUAAUUUGUUCACAUUCAAGGUUAUUAUUGGUAAGUGUGGACUUAUCCUUGUCAUUUUGUUAAUUAUCUUCUGGUUGUUUUCUAUCUUUUUCCUUUCUUUUUUCCUUUCUUUCUUUCUCUUUUGUUGUUUAUCAUUGUGGUUUGGUGUUUCUCUGUAGUGAUAACAUUUGGGUUCUUUCUCUUCCUUAUUUGUGGGUUUGCUUUACCAGUGAGUUUUAUACUUUCAUGUGUUUUCAUGAUGGUAGAUAUCAUUCUUUUGUUUCCAGGUAUAGAAUGCCCUUGAUCAUUUCUUGUAGGUCUGGUCUAGCAGUGAUGAAUUCCCUCAGUUUCUGCUUGUUUGGGAAAGAUUUUAUUUUUCUUUCAUUUAUGAAGGACAACUUUGCUGGGUAUUGUAUUCUGGGUUGACAGUUUUUUUUUUAAUCACUUUGAAUAUAUCAUUCUAUUGUCUCCUGACCUGUAAUAUUUUUGCUAUAUGUAUUUUUAAAAAUCCCCAGUUAGUCUGAUAGAGGUUCCCUAAUAUGUGACUAAACACUUUUCUCUUGCUGUUUUUAUAAUGCUCUUUGGUUUUGACUUUUACCUUAAUAUGCCUUGGAGAAUAACUUUUUUGACUUAUAUCUAUUUAGGGAUUAUAAACGUCCCAUAUCUAUAUGUCUAAAUCUCUUGCUAGACUUGGGAAGUUUUCAGCUAUUAUUUUGUUAAAUAGGUUUUCUAUGGAUUUGGUCUCUUCACCUUCUGGAACACCCAAAAUUCAUGUAUUUAGUUGUGUUGUGUUCUUAUGUCACAGGAUUUGUUCAUUCUUUUUUAUUCUCUUUUCUUCUUUUCAAAAAAUCUGACUGGGCAAUUUCAAAAGACUUGUCUUCAGGUUCUGAGAUUUUUGCUUUUGUUUGAUCUAUUGUUGAAGCUCUUGUAUGAAUUUUUAAAAUUUCAUUCAUUGAAUUCUUUCUUUCCAGGACUUCUGGUUUGUUCUUUUUUAUUAUAUCUAUCUCUGGUGAAUUUCUCACUCACAUCCUGAAUUGUUUUUCUGAUUUCUU
rnacentral:lncRNA from 10 species